rnacentral:rRNA from 1 species
GACGAACGCUGGCGGCGUGCUUAACACAUGCAAGUCGAACGGAAAGGCUCCAGCUUGCUGGAGUACUCGAGUGGCGAACGGGUGAGUAACACGUGGGUGAUCUGCCCUGCACUUCGGGAUAAGCCUGGGAAACUGGGUCUAAUACCGGAUAGGACCGCACUUUGGUGUGUGUGGUGGAAAGGUUUUUCUGGUGUGGGAUGAGCCCGCGGCCUAUCCGGUUGUUGGGGGGGUAAUGGCCUACCAAGACGGCGACGGGUAGCCGGCCUGGGAGGGUGGACGGUCACCUUGGGGCUGGGAUUCGGCCCCGACCCCUACGGGGGGCAGCAGGGGGGAAUAUUGGCCCAUGGGGGGCAACCUUGUGCAGCGACGCCGCGGUGGGGAUGAAGGGCUUCGGGUUGUAAACUCCUUUCGCUAGGGACGAAGCCUUUUGUGACGGUACCUGGAGAAGAAGCACCGGCUAACUACGUG